AGGGGCUUAGUUUAAUGGUAGAACAGAGGUCUCCAAAACCUCUAGUAAAGGUUCGAUUCCUUUAGCCCCUGCAA
rnacentral:tRNA from 2 species